rnacentral:rRNA from 1 species
CUAAUGUUGAAAAAUUAGCGGAUGACUUGUGGCUGGGGGUGAAAGGCCAAUCAAACCGGGAGAUAGCUGGUUCUCCCCGAAAGCUAUUUAGGUAGCGCCUCGUGAAUUCAUCUCCGGGGGUAGAGCACUGUUUCGGCAAGGGGGUCAUCCCGACUUACCAACCCGAUGCAAACUGCGAAUACCGGAGAAUGUUAUCACGGGAGACACACGGCGGGUGCUAACGUCCGUCGUGAAGAGGGAAACAACCCAGACCGCCAGCUAAGGUCCCAAAGUCAUGGUUAAGUGGGAAACGAUGUGGGAAGGCCCAGACAGCCAGGAUGUUGGCUUAGAAGCAGCCAUCAUUUAAAGAAAGCGUAAUAGCUCACUGGUCGAGUCGGCCUGCGCGGAAGAUGUAACGGGGCUAAACCAUGCACCGAAGCUGCGGCAGCGACACUAUGUGUUGUUGGGUAGGGGAGCGUUCUGUAAGCCUGUGAAGGUGGCCUGUGAGGGUUGCUGGAGGUAUCAGAAGUGCGAAUGCUGACAUAAGUAACGAUAAAGCGGGUGAAAAGCCCGCUCGCCGGAAGACCAAGGGUUCCUGUCCAACGUUAAUCGGGGCAGGGUGAGUCGACCCCUAAGGCGAGGCCGAAAGGCGUAGUCGAUGGGAAACAGGUUAAUAUUCCUGUACUUGGUGUUACUGCGAAGGGGGGACGGAGAAGGCUAUGUUGGCCGGGCGACGGUUGUCCCGGUUUAAGCGUGUAGGCUGGUUUUCCAGGCAAAUCCGGAAAACCAAGGCUGAGGCGUGAUGA